AAUCCAUGGUGUGGGUAUUGCAAUAUAAGUGAUUUGAAGCGACCCCAUGCUUCAUGAAAAUAUUCAGCAUUCUCUUGAUAAAAAUUAAAAAUUUCACCUAUUAAUUCU
rnacentral:snoRNA from 1 species